rnacentral:lncRNA from 1 species
CAGGCCUUCAGCUGCCGGCUGCAGCCCCACCCAUUUCCUUCACAUUGAAGUGUUCUGCCUCUGCUGCCUGUCCCCAUCCUACCCCAGCGCAGGCACUGGGAAGCACUUCUCCAUUCACAACGCCCCUUCACAAAGAGGUCUCGGUGGAACCUUACAAUAGGACGCACACAAAGUCCACUUGACCGGAAAACCGAGGCCAGACCACACCGUCAGUGCCAAAC